UUGAACGCUGGCGGCAUGCCUUACACAUGCAAGUCGAACGGCAGCACGGGAGCAAUCCUGGUGGCGAGUGGCGAACGGGUGAGUAAUACAUCGGAACGUGCCCAAUCGUGGGGGAUAACGCAGCGAAAGCUGUGCUAAUACCGCAUACGAUCUACGGAUGAAAGCAGGGGACCGCAAGGCCUUGCGCGAAUGGAGCGGCCGAUGGCAGAUUAGGUAGUUGGUGGGGUAAAGGCUCACCAAGCCAACGAUCUGUAGCUGGUCUGAGAGGACGACCAGCCACACUGGGACUGAGACACGGCCCAGACUCCUACGGGAGGCAGCAGUGGGGAAUUUUGGACAAAGGGCGCAAGCCUGAUCCAGCCAUGCCGCGUGCAGGAUGAAGGCCUUCGGGUUGUAAACUGCUUUUGUACGGAACGAAACGGCCUUUUCUAAUAAAGAGGGCUAAUGACGGUACCGUAAGAAUAAGCACCGGCUAACUACGUG
rnacentral:rRNA from 1 species